rnacentral:lncRNA from 1 species
GUUGGGUUUUUUUUUGUUUUUUUUUUUUUUUUUUAACCCACAAACGGCUCCUGCUUGCCGGGAGCUCUUGUGCUGGGCGGUAGAGAGGCGAGAAGUGGCGCCCCUCAGGCGGCCGUGCCUCUCGAUCUUCACAAAUGGCAGCAGCCCCCGCUGCUGAUUUUAGACCUGCGAGGUCUUAGGAUCAGCAAAGUCUAGAUUGGGAGUUAAUUUGAUAAAGGCAUCUUGAGAAACAUGUUGAGGAAUGCAGCAAGUUGAAGCAAAGGCUGGAAAAAAAAUACGCGCUGGCUCUAAGUUCAUAUGUCGCCUGAGGAGAUGGAAAAAUGCAGUAGGAAAAGGAGCAGGUCUCUGGAGACCUGAUGAAGAUGAUAAAAAACUCUUCCACUACUGAGCAUCAGAGAAAUCCUAAGAGGUCCUAAACUUGCCACAGCUUUGCAUACGACUUGAAACGCACCUUCCUGCGAAUGGGCAGCUGAGGAGGAGCUGUCUGAACCCAGCCUGCAGUGGGAAGGACAGUGGAA